GUUGGGGGUGGGACACUUCAGAUUCUAAAGGACAUUUGAUUGGACAGAUCAUCUGAUGAGAAGCCAACGUGCAGAAUGAUGUCAUCAAAAUUGUUGAUCCAUUUUGGUGAGUAGAGAGAGAGAGAGACUGUAAAUUUUGAAUGCAUAUAUCUUUUAAUUGUGAAUUAUGUCAUUGUUUUGAAGCACACUAGCUAAUAGAUAACCUUAAGGCGAACAUAUUCAUGCUAAAAGUCACAAAACUUCCAUUUUAAUUUUAUGUGGACCUGAAUACAUAUAGUAAUACAUAUACAUAUAUUAAUACUAAUAUUUUGAGCACUAAACAGGCAUGUAUAUUUGCCUUGCAGUACACCAUUAGAAGAAAGUCAUGCUAAGGGGAAGCCAAACAGAGAAAGAAUGGAGGAAGGAGAAAGAAAGUGGAAAAACUGAGGAACAGCACAAUAGGCUGAGUGCGGACACACAGUUGCAGAGCUGCCAUGUGCCAGUGUGGCUGACCCCAGGCACGCACAGCUGGGCAUCACAUCUGCCAAUUAGUGCCGCAGAAGUUUUCACUUCAACCGACAUGUGUGCCACGAGCGACCCACAACGGGUGCCACAGCCUCGUCCAUCUGUAUGCACUCAUGUGGAGAAGCAUAUGUGAUUGUGCAAGUGUUAGUUAGAAAGAAAGGGGGUUUAUGCGAUGAAGGAACAAACUGUUCCGAAAAUUUUGUGUCUUUCUUGCUCUUUUGCUCUUUUGAUGAAUAAGCUAUUCGUGUGAACUAAGCAUUGGUGAGUGACAGAUGGAUGACUGUCGGGUGUGAUUGAGAGAGAAAUGGAGUUCAUGUUAAGAGUGAACAGGCAGUUGCUCUAUUAGACUAAAAUAAACAGCAUCUUCAGUCUUUUUAUUUAUAAUAACUUUAAAUAUAAAGUUGUUUAUGUUUUUGUUUAAAACAUAAAUAUUCACCUUAAUCUAUAAUUUGGUGUACUUUAAGAAAUAUCCUGAAGUUGACUGUGUUAAUUUGAUAUUGAUGACAUAAUAAAUGUAUCCAUAUAGGUUAAUUAUUAGCUGCUUAUAACAGCACUGGUGAAUUGAUUGGUCAAACGGGGUUGAUUAAUUUUCUGUUACAGGAGCAAUUAAAAUUUAUAUUAAUAUUAUAUUUUAUAGGUUUAUAUUAAUGCACUCAUUCUAAUAUAUUAUCGUUUUUAUAACUACAGCUAAUUUACAGGGACAAAUCUGGGUUUUUAUUUAAGAAACACAAAUAAUUCUUGAUAUAGUGAUGAUUUUUGUUGGAGAGGUUUAUGGAACAUUUAUGGAAGGAGUCUUGUGUGUCAGUGCUUUGUAACAGUUGAAAACAAUAAAAGUUUUCUGGCACAGGAGAGUCUUCAGGACUUUGUAUUUUACAGUAUCUCAGUAACAUGACAACCUAUGUUUUAUUUUAACUUCAAGAGGAGAAAAAACAGAGGAUGGUGAGGGAAUGUCUGUUUAUAGCUGCU
ensembl:lncRNA